rnacentral:tRNA from 2 species
AACUCUAUAGUAUAAAAAUAACAUUAAAUUGCAAGUUUAAAGAUGUGUAAUCACUAGGGUUU